GCGCCGAUAGCCAAGCGGUAAGGCAUGAGGCUGCAACCCUCAGAUGCGCAGGUUCGAAUCCUGCUCGGCGCU
rnacentral:tRNA from 1 species